AAAAUAUAUAGUAAUUUAAAAGGAAACAUGUUGAUCAUAAGGCAGGUGUCUUUUCCUUUAUUUUUUAGUAAAAACUAAUAAAAAUAAAUCCUCCCUAUGACUCUGACUUAGCAAUGCCAAAAAUUACAUUUGUCAUUUUGUACUAACAAAAUAUUAGCGCCUAAACCUGGUGCAUUUUUUUUACAAUGUUUUUACAUUUUAAAUAUUAAUAUUAUGUAUUAUGAGUAGUGCUUACACACACACACAUAUGAAUAUACUAUUUAUGUAACUAAAUGGACAUAAGCUGCAUGAGGUGUACUGUCAUUGCUGAUCGUGUACAAGGCUAUUUUUUACCCUGAGUUCUGCCGGUGAGAACAAAUUAAUUUUCCCUGCUUGUAUGUUACUCUAAACAAAAACUAUUUCAUUUAGACUGUUUUGGUGUCAUUUUUAAGGUUAAAUUGGAUUCCAGUUCGCAUUUGGACUCAAAAACCUCCUCAAAGCUCAAACUCGGGGCACUAAAAUCGUCCAUUUCCGGAGGGCGGAGACUCGAGGCCGAGUGUUCCCGAACUCUUCCGGUCUUUGCCGAUCUCCUGCACCGGCCGCCGAGCUGUUGUUUGUGCUGCGUGUCCUGCUCGCAUCCAUCUCUGGCAGCGCUCCCAUCAUGGUGGACAUCUUGGUGCUGAUGUUUUUCGCCAUCAUGGGCCUCGUGUUUCUCUCCUACAUCAUCUACAUGCUGUGAUGAAGCGGAGACACCGGGAAUUACCGGCGAACGGCGGGAUGGAGCCGAGUUGUUAUCCCCGCUGCAUCCCCUGUCUGCAGCCUGCACGAAGGGAGAAGAUGCACAUCCAGGCUGUGAUGCUUCUACAGAGCUGAGAGGAAACACAAAUGGAGAGGAGGAAGUGGAAGCCAAACUCUUUCUAUCUCCCCUCACCCAGACCCUCUCCCUGAUAUUUCCCUGAUAUCUCUGAUAUCCAGAGUGUUUUCUCUGCUGCUGAAGGUGUGCCAGGACGCUGUGGGUGUGAUGCAGAUGAAGGAUUCGUCUCUUUCAUCCCCACAAGGGUUUUGAAUGUCUCCAGAGUCACAGGUUCCUCUCUAUCUCCCCACACAUCCACCAACCACUGGAACACAUCUCCAAAGUUCUGCCGGGCCAGCUCAGCUUCCCCUCAGAAGAAGUGC
ensembl:lncRNA